rnacentral:rRNA from 1 species
CAGCCGCCACGGGAAUACGAAGGGUGCAAGCGUUACUCGGAAUUACUGGGCGUAAAGCGUGCGUAGGUGGUGGUUUAAGUCCGUUGUGAAAGCCCUGGGCUCAACCUGGGAAUUGCAGUGGAUACUGGGUCACUAGAGUGUGGUAGAGGAUAGUGGAAUUUCCGGUGUAGCAGUGAAAUGCGUAGAGAUCGGAAGGAACAUCUGUGGCGAAGGCGACUAUCUGGGCCAACACUGGCACUGAGGCACGAAAGCGUGGGGAGCAAACAGGAUUAGAUACCCGCGUAGUCCCUGUCUCUUAUAC